rnacentral:rRNA from 1 species
GACGAACGCUGGCGGCGUGCCUAAUACAUGCAAGUCGAACGAGAGCGACCGGUGCUUGCACUGGUCAAUCUAGUGGCGAACGGGUGAGUAACACGUGGGUAACCUGCCCAUCAGAGGGGGAUAACAUCCGGAAACGGAUGCUAAAACCGCAUAGGUCUUCGAACCGCAUGGUUUGAAGAGGAAAAGAGGCGCAAGCUUCUGCUGAUGGAUGGACCCGCGGUGCAUUAGCUAGUUGGUGAGGUAACGGCUCACCAAGGCCGUGAUGCAUAGCCGACCUGAGAGGGUGAUCGGCCACAUUGGGACUGAGACACAGCCCAAACUCCUACGGGAGGCAGCAGUAGGGAAUCUUCCGCAAUGGACGCAAGUCUGACGGAGCAACGCCGCGUGAGUGAAGAAGGUUUUCGGAUCGUAAAACUCUGUUGUUAGAGAAGAACAAGUGCUAGAGUAACUGUUAGCGCCUUGACGGUAUCUAACCAGAAAGCCACGGCUAACUACGUG